rnacentral:rRNA from 1 species
GCACAAACUAUCGCAUACCCAAUUUGCUGAAGCGUCGAAAGACGGUUCGGUACCCGAAUUUCUUGACGACCAUAGAGCAUUGGAACCACCUGAUCCCAUCCCGAACUCAGAAGUGAAACGAUGCAUCGCCGAUGGUAGUGUGGGGUUUCCCCAUGUGAGAGUAGGUCAUCGUCAAGA